GAGUUUGAUCGUGGCUCAGGAUGAACGCUGGCGGCGUGCCUAACACAUGCAAGUCGAACGGAGCUGCUUUGAUGAAGUUUUCGGAUGGAUUUAAACAGCUUAGUGGCGGACGGGUGAGUAACGCGUGGGUAACCUGCCUCACACUGGGGGAUAACAGUUAGAAAUAGCUGCUAAUACCGCAUAAGCGCACGGUUCCGCAUGGAACAGUGUGAAAAACUCCGGUGGUGUGAGAUGGAUCCGCGUCUGAUUAGCCAGUUGGCGGGU
rnacentral:rRNA from 1 species